rnacentral:rRNA from 1 species
AUAGAUCCUGAAACCGUGUGCUUACAAAAAGUAGGAGCCCGCAAGGGUGACUGCGUACCUUUUGUAUAAUGGGUCAGCGACUUACAUUCAGUGGCAAGGUUAACCGAAUAGGGAAGCCGUAGAGAAAUCGAGUCCGAAUAGGGCGUCAUAGUCGCUGGGUGUAGACCCGAAACCAAGUGAUCUAUCCAUGGGCAGGAUGAAGGUGCCGUAACAGGUACUGGAGGUCCGAACCGACUAAUGUUGCAAAAUUAGCGGAUGACCUGUGGAUAGGGGUGAAAGGCUAAACAAACUUGGAAAUAGCUGGUUCUCUCCGAAAACUAUUUAGGUAGUGCCUCAAGUAUUACCGACGGGGGUAGAGCACUGUUUUGGCUAGGGGGGUCAUGGCGACUUACCAAACCAAGGCAAACUCCGAAUACCGUCGAGUACAGCUUGGGAGACAGAGCACCGGGUGCUAACGUCCGGACUCAAGAGGGAAACAACCCAGACCGCCAGCUAAGGUCCCUAAAAUUGGCUAAGUGGGAAACGAAGUGGGAAGGCUAAAACAGUCAGGAUGUUGGCUUAGAAAGCAGCCAUCAUUUUAAAGAAAGCGUAAUAGCUCACUGAUCGAGUCGUCCUGCGCGGAAGAUGUAACGGGGCUAAGCCAGUUACCGAAGCUGCGGAUUUGCAAUUUAUUGCAAGUGGUAGGAGAGCGUUCUGUAGGCCUGUGAAGGUGUCUUGUAAAGGAUGCUGGAGGUAUCAGAAGUGCGAAUGCUGACAUGAGUAGCGUUAAAGGGGGUGAAAAGCCCCCUCGCCGUAAGCGCAAGGUUUUCUACGCAACGUUCAUCGGCGUAGAGUGAGUCGGCCCCUAAGGCGAGGCAGAGAUGCGUAGCUGAUGGGAAACAGGUCAAUAUUCCUGUACCGAUUACAAGUGCGAUGUGGGGACGGAGAAGGUUAGCUCAGCCAACUGUUGGAUAUGUUGGUUCAAGCCUGUAGUCAUGCCCGGUAGGCAAAUCCGCCGGGCUUAGAUGAGGGGUGAUAAGGAGUGUGCUUGCACACGAACUGAGUGAUACCCUGCUUCCAGGAAAAGCCACUAAGCUUCAGCUUGUAACGACCGUACCGCAAACCGACACUGGUGCGCGAGAUGAGUAUUCUAAGGCGCUUGAGAGAACUCUGGAGAAGGAACUCGGCAAAUUGAUACCGUAACUUCGGGAGAAGGUAUGCCCCCUAGUAGGUGAACUCGAAACAGAGGGAGCCCAAUGGGGGUUGCAAAAAAAAUCGGUGGCUGCGACUGUUUAAUAAAAAACACAGCACUCUGCAAACACGAAAGUGGACGUAUAGGGUGUGACGCCUGCCCCGGUGCUGGAAGAUUAAAUGAUGGGGUGCAAGCUCUUGAUUGAAGUCCCAGUAAACGGCGGCCGUAACUAUAACGGUCCUAAGGUAGCGAAAUUCCUUGUCGGGUAAGUUCCGACCUGCACGAAUGGCGUAACGAUGGCCACACUGUCUCCUCCAGAGACUCAGCGAAGUUGAAAUGUUUGUGAUGAUGCAAUCUCCCCGCGGAAAGACGGAAAGACCCCAUGAACCUUUACUGUAGCUUUGUAUUGGACUUUGAACAGAUCUGUGUAGGAUAGGUGGGAGGCUUUGAAGCCGGAACGCUAGUUUCGGUGGAGCCAACGUUGAAAUACCACCCUGGUGUGUUUGAGGUUCUAACCUAGGUCCAUUAUCUGGAUCGGGGACAGUGCAUGGUAGGCAGUUUGACUGGGGGCGGUCUCCUCCCAAAGUGUAACGGAGGAGUUCGAAAGGUACGCUAGUUACGGUCGGACAUCGUGAUAAUAGUGCAAUGGCAUAAGCGUGCUUAACUGCGAGACUGACAAGUCGAGCAGAUGCGAAAGCAGGACAUAGUGAUCCGGUGGUUCUGUAUGGAAGGGCCAUCGCUCAACGGAUAAAAGGUACUCUGGGGAUAACAGGCUGAUACCGCCCAAGAGUUCAUAUCGACGGCGGUGUUUGGCACCUCGAUGUCGGCUCAUCUCAUCCUGGGGCUGUAGCCGGUCCCAAGGGUAUGGCUGUUCGCCAUUUAAAGAGGUACGUGAGCUGGGUUUAAAACGUCGUGAGACAGUUUGGUCCCUAUCUUCCGUGGGCGCUG